AGUAGCCGCGGUAAUACGAAGGGUGCAAGCGUUACUCGGAAUUACUGGGCGUAAAGCGUGCGUAGGUGGUGGUUUAAGUCCGUUGUGAAAGCCCUGGGCUCAACCUGGGAAUUGCAGUGGAUACUGGGUCACUAGAGUGUGGUAGAGGAUAGUGGAAUUUCCGGUGUAGCAGUGAAAUGCGUAGAGAUCGGAAGGAACAUCUGUGGCGAAGGCGACUAUCUGGGCCAACACUGACACUGAGGCACGAAAGCGUGGGGAGCAAACAGGAUUAGAUACCCAGUAGUCCCUGUCUCUUAUACAC
rnacentral:rRNA from 1 species